rnacentral:rRNA from 1 species
CUAAGGUAGCGAAAUUCCUUGUCGGGUAAGUUCCGACCUGCACGAAUGGCGUAACGACUUCCCCGCUGUCUCCAACAUAGACUCAGUGAAAUUGAAUUCCCCGUGAAGAUGCGGGGUUCCUGCGGUCAGACGGAAAGACCCCGUGCACCUUUACUAUAGCUUCACACUGGUAUUCGCCAAGGCAUGUGUAGGAUAGGUGGUAGGCUUUGAAACCCGGGCGCCAGCUCGGGUGGAGCCACCCUUGAAAUACCACCCUUAUCUUCGUGGAUAUCUAACCGCGGCCCGUUAUCCGGGUCCGGGACCGUGUGUGGUGGGUAGUUUGACUGGGGCGGUCGCCUCCUAAAGAG